UACGUAGGGGCAAGCGUUGUCCGGAAUCAUUGGGCGUAAAGCGCGUGUAGGCGGCUCGAUAAGUCUGCUGUGAAAGUCCAGGGCUCAACCCUGGGAUGCCGGUGGAUACUGUCGAGCUUGAGUCCGGAAGAGGAGAGUGGAAUUCCGUGGUGUAGCGGUGAAAUGCGCAGAUAUCAGGAAGAACACCCGGUGGCUAAGGCGGCUCUCUAGUACGGUACUGACGCGAGACGCGAAGCGUGGGGAGC
rnacentral:rRNA from 1 species